AUGGUGUCCGGGGCUCCCCUUUCCAUAUCGCGGGCUUUGUCCGCCUCGCUGUUCGGACUAGCAGGCGGCUCUGAGGAGGCCCGGCAUGUGGACCCGGCCGCCGCCCUUCGGGAGGCGACAGAGAGGAACGCGCGGGAGGAGCGGGAGGCUGCAGCGCGAGCGGAGGCCGACGCCCAGGCCGCCGCGUCAGUGCAGACGGAGGCACAAGCCGCGGCGGCGGCGCAGGCGAAGGCAGCGACUAAGGCGCAGGCGGAGGCCGACGCCAAGGCCACGGUGAACCCGGCCGGCAGCGGGAUUCCGGAGGCCGCCAACUUGGAGCUGCCGGAGCCGCCGGUUGUGGAGGAUCGGGCGCCGACUGGAGCAGCCGGAGCUGACCAGACGGCCCUGGAGCGGGAGGUGACCGACCCCGUCGUCCCGGAGGCGGAGGUGGCUCAGCGCGCGCCGGGUGCUGGCGAGCGAGGUGGCGACCAUCCCGAAGGGCCGGAGGUGCCGCCGGCCAACACCGGGCUGGUGACGAGCCAGGCCAUGACGCGCGCUCGCCCUUGCGCCCGCGCCAGACGCGAGCGGCCUCAGAGGCUGGUGGAGACCGGGCCCGCGAGCUUGCAGGGGGCUGGCAUCGAAGCCACGAGCUCUGCCCCACCAGGCUGGGCGUCAGGAGCCAGCAUUGCCGUCCUGAACCUCGCGGUGCAGGACGUCCUGGACAAGUUUGCCACCCACAGCGCCACCCUCCUGAAGGCGAGGAGCGAGAUGGUGGCGAUGCAGACGUCUGUCCGGGACUACCACAACCUGCGUGCGUCCGCCUUCAACUCCCAGAACUAG
rnacentral:rRNA from 1 species